CAAGUCGAACGAGAACUUUUCCUGUAGCAAUACAGGGAAAGUUUUAGUGGCGAACGGGUGCGUAACACGUGGGCAAUCUGCCUUAAAGUGGGGGAUAGCUCGGCGAAAGCCGAAUUAAUACCGCAUGUGGUCAGGGAAGACAUCUUUCCGAAACCAAAGCCGGGGCAACCUGGCGCUUUUUGAGGAGCCCGCGGCCUAUCAGCUAGUUGGUGAGGUAACGGCCCACCAAGGCUAUGACGGGUAGCUGGUCUGAGAGGACGACCAGUCACACUGGAACUGAGACACGGUCCAGACACCUACGGGUGGCAGCAGUCGAGAAUUUUUCUCAAUGGGGGCAACCCUGAAGGAGCGACGCCGCGUGGAGGAUGAAGGCUUUCGGGUUGUAAACUCCUGUCAUUUGGGAACAAGCCGCUUACGUUAACUGCGUGAGCGUUGAUAGUACCAGAAGAGGAAGAGACGGCUAACUCUGUGCCAGCAGCCGCGGUAAUACAGAGGUCUCAAGCGUUGUUCGGAUUCAUUGGGCGUAAAGGGUGCGUAGGUGGCGCGGUAAGUCGGGUGUGAAAUCUCGGAGCUUAACUCCGAAAUUGCAUUCGAUACUGCCGUGCUCGAGGACUGGAGAGGAGACUGGAAUUCAUGGUGUAGCAGUGAAAUGCGUAGAGAUCAUGAGGAAGACCAGUGGCGAAGGCGGGUCUCUGGACAGUUCCUGACACUGAGGCACGAAGGCCAGGGGAGCAAACGGGAUUAGAUACCCCGGUAGUCCUGGCAGUAAACGGUGCACGUUUGGUGUGGGGAGGAUUCGACCCCUUCCGCGCCGGAGCUAACGCGUUAAACGUGCCGCCUGGGG
rnacentral:rRNA from 1 species